rnacentral:rRNA from 1 species
AAUAUUGCGCAAUGGAGGCAAGUCUGAUCCAGCAACGCCGCGUGUGUGAUGAAGGUCUUCGGAUCGUAAAACACUGUAGUUUGGGAGGAAGGAGUAUAGGAUUAAACCCUGAUGUUUUGACGGUACCUGCCGAGUAAGCCACGGCUAACUACGUGCCAGCAGCCGCGGUAAUACAGAGGGUGCAAGCGUUGUUCGGAAUUAUUGGGCGUAAAGCGCGCGCAGGUGGUUUGUUAAGUUUGAAGUGAAAGCCUCCGGCUCAACCUGGAACCGUCUUUCAAAACUGGGAGGCUUGAGUAUAGCAGAGGGUAGUGGAAUUUCCUGUGUAGCGGUGAAAUGCGUAGAUAUAUGGAGGAACACCAGUGGCGAAGGCGACCACCUGGGCUGAUACUGACACUGAGGUGCGAAAGCGUGGGGAGCAAACA